CAAUAGGCCUUUCUCAAAUUAUAUGCAUACUUUACAUUCCAUCACCAGAGAGAGGCUAACAGGGCAUGAAUGUAAACAAGUAAUGUCUGACCUGAUAAGCCCAAGUGUGUUAAACUUACCGGGGAAAAUAUAAUUUUUAUUGUUGUGUUCCACUCUGUUAUUCCAAAUCUAAAUAUGAUUAUACAGUUAAUUUUCAUAAAAUACGUAAGGAUGUGAGUUAAAUAAAGGAAGGGAUUGUGGAAAUAAGAUGAGAUGAACGAGAACAUUUCGAGAUCAAUAUAUGACAAGACAAUAUAGCUUGUUUUGAAGCAUUUCACACAAUAAGAUUAACAAUCAUGGACACACAUUCAUAUAUGUCUGAAGAGAAUAGAUGUACCCUCUUGGUUCAAAUGGAGAAGUAAUGAACAGACCAGUAAGAUGGACACUAAAGAAGAUUUUUGCCAGAUGAAAGGAAUUCAAUUGGUAACAGUAAUGAACACAAAUUGACAACUGGUAUUUGAAUCGCCUUAAGUUGUAAUAUCUCUUCAUGGCAGUUGCAGAACAGAUGAAAAUAAAAAUACUAUCAAACAGUUCAAAGAAGAAUUACAGAAAACUGUGGAAGAAAAUAAAAUGUUAUAUUGAACUUUUGAUACAAACAAAUUUUUAAAUGAUAACAGUUGCAUAUCUUGUUUAUUUUGGAUUUUCAACAUAUGUAUAUUCAUUACAGUUUUUAAUGUUUAAAACAUCAGCAAAACAUUAAGAGCUUUUAUUAUGAAGCAAGCAAAACAAACAGCUUGACUGAUAGAAAGAGAUAGAUGUUGCAAGCUGACAAAAUGUAUUUUUAGCAUAUUUUAAAGGACCAUUUGUUUAGUCCUUUGUGUCUUAAUUCAAAUAAAAUAAUUAAAAAGAAAUCAUCGCAUUACUUUGUUUUUAACAUUACUUUGUUUUUAACAUUAUGCUUUGUUACAUAUAUGGUACAGCUGCAGGGAAUAUGUCAACAUGGUAAUAACAUUUAAUAUUUUGUCCUCUUAUUGCAUUAUAUACUGUUGAGUGAAUAUUUCUUGGAAUGCUCAAAGAAGUGCUGAAGCUAGAUGCUGUCUUUCCUAAUACCCUCCGACUUCAAGGUCCUGCACAUGUAUUCUGCAAAUGUUUAGUCCCCUAAGUAAAUGGAAUGUCCGGGGUUGUUAAGUCCAGGCAACAUCUUCUGGAAGUGCUGUGUACCCCAAUGAUUUGUUAUAUAUCAGCUAGUACAGGGUUCAACAAUAUGACCACAUUAUCAAGUCGGACCAACUGGACAAGUGCAAUAAGCUAAUGAUACCUC